UGAGGAAUAUUGGUCAAUGGGCGAGAGCCUGAACCAGCCAAGUAGCGUGCAGGAUGACGGCCCUAUGGGUUGUAAACUGCUUUUGUAUGGGGAUAAAGUCAGUCACGUGUGAUUGUUUGCAGGUACCAUACGAAUAAGGACCGGCUAAUUCCGUGCCAGCAGCCGCGGUAAUACGGAAGGUCCGGGCGUUAUCCGGAUUUAUUGGGUUUAAAGGGAGCGUAGGCUGGAGAUUAAGUGUGUUGUGAAAUGUAGACGCUCAACGUCUGACUUGUAGCGCAUACUGGUUUCCUUGAGUACGCACAACGUUGGCGGAAUUCGUCGUGUAGCGGUGAAAUGCUUAGAUAUGACGAAGAACUCCGAUUGCGAAGGCAGCUGACGGGAGCGCAACUGACGCUGAAGCUCGAAGGUGCGGGUAUCGAACAGGAUUAGAUACCCUGGUAGUCCGCACAGUAAACGAUGGAUGCCCGCUGUUGGUACCUGGUAUCAGCGGCUAAGCGAAAGCAUUAAGCAUCCCACCUGGGGAGUACGCCGGCACGGU
rnacentral:rRNA from 1 species